GACGAACGCUGGCGGCGUGCCUAAUACAUGCAAGUCGAACGCAGUGGGAGCGGGUGAGUAACACGUGGGUAACCUCCCAUCAGAGGGGAUAAAACUUGGAAACAGGUGCUAAACUGAUACUGAUGGAUGAACCCGCGGUGCAUUAGAUAGUUGGUGAGGUAACGGCUCACCAAGGCCACGAUGCAUAGCUGACCUGAUAGGGUGAUCGGCCACACUGGGACUUAGACACGGCCCAGACUCCUACGGGAGGCAGCAGUGGUGAAUCUUCGGCAAUGGACGAAAGUCUGACCGAGCAACGCCGCGUGAGUGAAGAAGGUUUUCGGAUCGUAAAACUCUGUUGUUAGAGAAGCGGUAUCUAACCAGAAAGCCACGGCUAACUACGUGCCAGCCGCCGCGGUAAUAC
rnacentral:rRNA from 1 species